rnacentral:rRNA from 1 species
UGCGUAGGCGGACUAAUAAGUCAGUGGUGAAAUCUUUCGGCUCAACCGAGAAACUGCCAUUGAUACUGUUAGUCUUGAGUUCGGUUGAGGUAGGCUGAAUGUGUAAUGUAGCGGUGAAAUGCUUAGAUAUUACACAGAACACCAAUUGCGUAGGCAGCUUACUAGACCGACACUGACGCUGAGGCACGAAAGCGUGGGGAGCGAACAGGAUUAGAUACCCUGGUAGUC